rnacentral:ncRNA from 2 species
GGACCAUCCAGAGCGGCCGAGAGACCCGGUUCGUCGACGCCGCAGCAACCCCCUCAGCGCAUGAGGAGUGGGUGCUUCCGCCGGGAACGAUGGAGA